GGAGAAAUGCCGGAGUGGUCGAUCGGGGCGGUCUCGAAAACCGUUGUACCCUUACGGGUACCGGGGGUUCGAAUCCCUCUUUCUCCG
rnacentral:tRNA from 1 species